UGCAAUCUGUACUUCACCGGCAGGGCAGAUUCUACCGGUACUACGCGGGAUUAGCUCCCCUGUGCCCUCCGCUAGGAUGUAAACGGCUUGAGGGCAGCUGCUGUGUCUGUGCUCAUCAGUGCUGUAGCAUCCAGUCCAGUGAAUGAUGAAUGAAUGAAAGCAGAGUGAGGAAAAGAGGGAGAGGAAGCUGCCUGGAAGAUGAGUCUUGUCAUUACGCUUCCUUCUCACAGUAGCCCAGAAACUUCAUCUGUGUGCAGCUCUGACACUUUGGAGAAUUAACUUCCCCAAGGUCAGGGCAGAGUGCUGACACCUCAUCCGAGUGCUGAACACAGGGCGAUGCUGGAAGUUUCUCUGCUUGUUAGUUUUCCAAUUAUAUUUCCUUAAGGAAAGGGAGUUGAGUCACAGUGAUCUUACAAUGACACAAUACAGCUGCUCGAGGAAAUCCUUGACUUUACUUUCCCUGCUUUAGGUGGAUUUGGAAAGGAAAUCAUUUCAUGGCACAUUCAGAAAAUGGUUAAUGACUACCAUUCAGGGACACUUAUGUUUCAGGUUCAAUAACCACAUGAUCUCUAAUCUUUACAACAUUCCUACAUGGUUGGAUAUAUUAACUGGUUGGAAUUAUUAACUGCCCCAUUUUAUAAAAGAAGAAGCUGGGGAUCUGGGAGGUUGGUCAAAGUAGACAAGGCCAUCCAGGUAUCCAGGGCUAAAGAAAGGCAGGUUUCAAACUCAGCCCCACCUAUUUCCAAAGCCCAUGCUCUGGAGGUGCUAACACGUAACUGUGGCAACUAAGAACACCCUGUGAACAGCCUAAAGAGAAGCCAGGGGUCACCCAAAUUCAUCCUGACAAAUCACUGCUAAAUGUUACAAAGCCAGACGUAUUUUAAAACCACCACCCAGUACCUUCGCCCUUGAACCUACAUGCCACAAGAGCUCAGCAACAUUAACACUAAAACCUUGGGAGGUUUAUGUGGCUGACCCUGGGCUACUAGUGGGUGAGUCACUGUAUCCGAUGAUCCAUGAUCCGUCUUCAGGAAAGUGUCAAAACCUCAGGGUGUACAUCUCUUUGCCACCUUGGACAAUGGAUUGCUAACCAUACUUAUCUUAAAUAAGGCAAUUUAUGUACGUUUCUGUUUUAUGAUUUUGAAUUGUAUGUUCUAGGGGAAAAAGAUACAUUCCCAAAGGUAAAUUUAUGAGACUGAAGAAAUAGGAAAGAACAUUAGUGACUUUCUGAACUUCAGCUUAAAACUGUUGCACACAAACAGCUGUUUGGAAAGCAGGCUUUCCCUGAGUGCUGGCAUGUGCCUGCCACCACGCUGGGCACCAGAGGCUCAGAAAGGGGGUGAGACUUGCUCAAAGAUGACCAGAGACUCAAGGCGCCAGCUGAAACCAGCACCCGGCUCUGCUCACUCUCAGGUUCAGCUUCUCCUGUUUCCUUCCCUGCUGUUGAUGCACCAUGUCAGCGUGUGUAGCCAGCGCUCCUGUCUCUCUACCCUCAGCUUCUCCUUUUAUAAAAUGGGGCCAUUAAUUCCAACUAGUUAAUAUGUCCAACCACGUAGGAUUAUUAUAAAGAUUGGAGGUCAUGUGGUUACUGAGCCUGAAACAUAAGUGUCCCUAAGUGGUGGUUAGGAACUAUUUUCUGUACGUGCCCAUGAAAUGAUUUCCUUUCUAAGUCCACUUACAGCAAGAAGGAAACUAGAGAGGAGAACAUGGAGGGCUUUUCAGUAGAACCUUGGUUUGUGAGCAUAAUUCAUUCCAGAAACAUGCUUGUGAUCCAAAGCACAUGUAUAUCAAAGGGAAUUUCAAGAACCAUUGGCUCAGUUGUGAUCAUGUGAUGUUUGGCGUCAGGUACAACUCGUAUUGCAAGACAUCGCUCAUUUUUAUCAAGUUAAAAUUUAUUAGAAAUGUUUGUUCGUCUUGCGAAACACUCACAGAACAAGUUACUCACAAUCCAAGGUGUUACUACUUCCCAAGGGUAUUUGAAGAAAUUUGAAGACACAGAGAAAAGGUAAAGGACUCAUUCAAAGUCAAAAAAAAAAAAAAAAUUGUUUUAGGCAGCAAACAGGCCAAAAUUCUGGUUUGUAUUCUGAUUUGUAUCCUUUCCACCUGCCAUGCCACAACGCUGCUUCAAAUUAGGUAACUCUAUUAUCUAAAAAAAUAUUUUUUAAUGUUUAUUUAUUUUUGAGAGAAAGAGAGAGAGAGUGAGAGAUGGAGCAUGAGUAGGGGAGGGGCAGAGAGAGGGAGACACAGAAUCUGAAGCAGGCUCCAGACUCUGAGCUGUCAGCACAGGGGCCCGAUGCGGGGCUCGAACUCACGAACUGCGAGAUCAUGACCUAAGCCUAAGUUGAACGCUUAACCGACUGAGCCACCCAGGCUCCCCUAGGUGACUCUAAUUAUGUGGCUAAAGAAAUAGAAAUCUGCUUUGAAAAAACCCAGUAUCGAAAUAGAAAUAUUCAUGUGUGUGAUAAGGUGGGGGAGGAGGAAAGAGAGGACAGGGAGUGUGAAUUAUUUGCACUUUAAAAAUACUUUUUCCUUAUCGUGAGAUUUCUUUUCAUAUAGAUUGUUAUAAAAAUGCACCCCUUUCUCGAAUGGAGUUAAUAGUUUAAGUCCUCUCAACUUUCCCUCCUUACAGAGACUCUGUGAUGCUUAUUCACUGGUUUCUAAAUAACUUUUUGUACAAACAAACAGAAACUACUGGCACCCUAGAUACAUUUCCCAUGUCAACCAUUGAAUUCUCAGGCGUCUGUUGAUCCAACAGAUCUAAACAGUUUCAUAAGAUCCUCUUGAAGCUGCAUACAUGCCAAGGAUUGAGCGAAGAUCAUAGUUACGACCACAGGAGGAAAUCCUAUCAUUGUGAGCAGCUUUCACAGGAACGGCUCAUCAAGUAUUAGCAGUGAGGUCCUGGAGGCAUCGAAAACAAAUCCACAUGCAGUAUCAUCUGACCUGAUUUUCCUACAAAGAGCGUGAACUCUGGAGCCAGACAGCCUGGGAUCCAUUCUAGUUCUGCUGUGAGCCGUCUGUCAGGAGUCAGGCAAGUUCCUUGACCUCAUUAUGCUUCAUACGUGUCAUCUGCAACACAGGAAUUAGCUACCUUCCAGGUUGUUAUGGGAGUUACAGGCAUGAUAUAUCCAUAUUAGCCUUUACUGUUAUUAUCACCAUGCUAAUAAUAAUCUACACACUAUUUUCUGUUCAGGUGGGAAUUUCAUUUACUACUAAAAUGUAUUCCAGGAGCACCUGGGUGGCUCCGUCGGUUAAGCGUCCAACUUUGGCUCAGGUCAUGAUCUCACAGUUCGUGAGUUCCAGCCCCGCAUCAGGCACUGCUGUCAGCCCAGAGACCUUUUGGGAUCCUCUGUCCCUUUCUCUCUCUGCCCCUACCCCACUUGUGCUCUCUCUCUCUCUCAAAAAUAAACAUUAAAAAAAAACCCACAAAGAGUAAAUCUUAAAUAAAACAUAUUCCAUACCUCACUGAGAGCACAUGUAAAUUUAUAGACUCAUUCAACACCCACCAGUCAAGGAAGAAUAUCCUUUUAGUCACUCAGAGGCCUAAGCAACACUUGCAGGGUUCUUCUCGGGAAGCCAGUGCUUCUCACUGGGAGAGCAGCCCUGUUUCCACCACAAGGCGCUGCCGCUGGAUGGAAGGUCUCCAAGGAAGGAGGCAGGGUAUGAUGGAGGGCCAAUCAGACCCGGGUUUAAACCUGGGUUCUACCCUUUUUUUUUGGCUGUGUGAAACCAGGAAAAUUACUUCUUGUAUUAGUCUGGGACUUUUUUUUCUUCUUUCAGUUUCUUUUUUUUAAUUAAAUUUUUUGAGGUAAUUGCUGAUUCCCAUGCAGCUGUAGAGAUUCUGUAAACUGUCUCCCCAGUUUCCCCCAGUGGUAACAUCUUGCCAAAUUGUGGUUCAGCAUCACAGCGGGAUAUGCACGUUGAUGAAGUCAACCUACAGAAC